CCUAAAUUUUGGUUAUAUAUCCAGAAAUCAUGUCAUAUAUUUUGAUAAAGUUUGUAUUUUUCUGUAUUCAGCGAAAUUCCACCUGUGUUUCUUUUAAAAUGGGAAAAUGUAUGUGUAUUAUUUGGUGAUACAUGCAUAUAUUUUGUUUGAUUGAUUCAUGAUACAAUUUAAUUGAUUGAUGAAUUAAUUGGGAGAGAGAGACCUGCCAAAAAAUGUUAUCGUGAUGACUUUGAUAAAAGUAUUCAAACGUAGUGUUAGCCAUUAAUAACUUGUAGUGUUUUGAUGUUAUGGAAAUCAGUGUUUACAAAUCUAUGCAUAACUCAUGUACUAUCAAAGUGUAAUGAUUUAAUAACAAAUGUUUCUCAAGAUACACAAGCUAUCAUAGUCUAGAUUGAACUUUUUAUUAAUAGGUGAGGUUUUUCUGUAAAUUGUGUAGCUAUUUGUAAUUUCUAACUUUUGCAAGUGCUAUGUACACCCCACACCGUCUAUCUUAACAUAUCAUGAAGUAUUCUUUUUAUUCUUGCCAAUGCCAGAAGCAUUUUUUAAAAAAAUCUCUAUUUUAAAAAAUACAUUAUUUUACCAGUGAAUUUUUUUAAAUGAUUUUUUUCCAUUCAGUCCUUUUAUUUUAUUAUUGGCAAACAAUGUGUCUGCUAUAUUCUAAUUAAUGCCAAAAUUUGUACAAGUUGAAUGUAGAUUAUUAAAAAAAAAUAAUAAUAAAGCC
rnacentral:misc_RNA from 1 species